rnacentral:misc_RNA from 1 species
AGAUGUUGAUGGGACGAUAACAAAGUAAGAGUUUUCUAAUGCAAUAGAGUAUUCCUAAAUCUUUUCGAUUUUAAAAUUAUUACAAGUUGAAAUUUCACUGUUUUUGCAGUUGCUUGUUACUGCAAUAUAAAAUUGGCAAAGCUACAUCCUUGAACUCCAUCCUAAAUAUUAUACUUCUAUAACUUUUAUUGUUGUAAACAUAUUGUUAUUUAACUAGAUUCUCCAUCACAGAAAAAUUAGAGAUUAG